rnacentral:rRNA from 1 species
GACGAACGCUGGCGGCGUGCUUAACACAUGCAAGUCGAACGGAAAGGCCCUGCUUUUGUGGGGUGCUCGAGUUGCGAACGGGUGAGUAACACGUGAGUAACCUGCCCUUGACUUUGGGAUAACUUCAGGAAACUGGGGCUAAUACCGGAUAGGAGCUCCUGCUGCAUGGUGGGGGUUGGAAAGUUUCGGCGGUUGGGGAUGGACUCGCGGCUUAUCAGCUUGUUGGUGGGGUAGUGGCUUACCAAGGCUUUGACGGGUAGCCGGCCUGAGAGGGUGACCGGCCACAUUGGGACUGAGAUACGGCACAGACUCCUACGGGAGGCAGCAGUGGGGAAUAGUGCACAAUGGGCGGAAGCCUGAUGCAGCAACGCCGCGUGCGGGAUGACGGCCUUCGGGUUGUAAACCGCUUUCGCCUGUGACGAAGCGUGAGUGACGGUAAUGGGUAAAGAAGCACCGGCUAACUACGUG